GGAAAAAUGACCGAGUGGUUUAAGGUGCGGACCUGGAACGUCCGUGUAGUAAUUGCUACCGAGGGUUCGAAUCCCUCUUUUUCCG
rnacentral:tRNA from 1 species